GCCCCCGCGGCCCCGGCGGAGGUGGGAGCCGGAGAGGGAAGGGUCCGCCCUGGCUAGGCGUCCUCGGUGUAUCUCCUCGCGCUCCUUCCGGUACUCGUCUCUCUCCGCUCCCUGUACUGCAGCUACAGCCCGCUCAUCACUUGUCUCUUUCGAUCAAGAGCAAUGUUCGAGGAUUUCGUUUUCCUCUAGCGUUUCAGUCUCCGAGGGCCGGCCCCAUGUUCCAUUUUUCCUCGGGGGACCACGCUGCCAAGUUCAAAAAAAUGGCCAAAAGAAUCGCCGAGAAGGAAUUGACAGAUAGGAACUGGGAUCAAGAAGACGAAGCAGAAGAGGUGGGAACAUUUUCGGUGGCCAGUGAGGAGGUCUUGAAGAAUAGAGCCAUAAAGAAAGCAAAGCGUAGAAAUGUUGGAUUCGAAUCUGAUGGUGGAGGCGCCUUUAAAGGAUUUAAAGGUUUGGUUGCAUCUUCUGGAGGAGGAGGGUUUUCUGGAUUUGGUAAUGGUGCUGGAGGGAAGCCUCUGGAAGGACUGUCGAAUGGAAACAGCAUAACUAGUGCCCCUUCCUUCUCCAGCACGAGGGCAGCAACUGAGACCAAGGCCACCUUCGGAUCAACUGCUAUGAACGGCCCUACCUCCUUGGUCGAUAAAAAGAUUUCAACCCCUAAAACUACCGGUGACAGUCAGCAGCCUCCCUCCUCUGGUGCUGCCCGCCAUGGGAACGCCUAUCACAAGCAGCUGGCGGCCUUAAACCGCUCUGUGCGGGAUUGGAUCGUGAAGCAUGUGGACACAAACCCGCUCUGCGACCUCACGCCGAUCUUCAAAGACUACGAGAAGUACUUGGCAAGCAUCGAACAGCAACACGGGAGCAGCGGCAACAGUGAUUCCGAAAGUGAAGCCAGCAAAAUAUCAGUUGACGCACAGCCUCCUUCUCUAUUUGGUUCAACAAAAUUACAACCAGAGUCACCAUUUUUGUUUCAUGUCAACAAAACUGAGGAUACGUCUGGACAGAAGGUGGAAGCUGUGUCUGAAAAGAGCAAGGACCCAUCACUAGGAGCCACAAGUGCCUCGUUUAAUUUUGGCAAGAAAAUUGAUAGUUCUGUUUUGGGCUCCUUAAAUUCGGGCCCCUUGACUGGAUUUUCAUUUUCUUCUGGAAAUUCCAGUUUAUUUGGCAAAGAUACUACCCAGAGUAAACCGGUUUCUUCACCAUUUUCCACUAAAACAUCGGAGAGCCAAGCAGAAAGUGGCGGCAACGAAUGCAAAGGUGGAGAUGAAGAAGAGAGUGACGAGCCACCGAAAGUAGUAGUUACUGAAGUAAAAGAAGACGAUGCUUUUUACUCCAAAAAGUGCAAACUGUUUUACAAGAAAGAAAAUGAAUUUAAAGAGAAGGGUGUGGGCACUCUGCAUUUAAAACCUACAGCGAAUCAGAAGACGCAGCUGUUAGUGCGGGCAGACACCAAUUUAGGCAACAUACUGCUCAACAUCCUGAUUGCACCCAGCAUGCCUUGCACCCGCACAGGGAAGAACAACGUGCUCAUCGUCUGUGUUCCAAACCCGCCCAUUGAUGAAAAGAACGCCGCCACCCCGGUUCCCAUGUUGAUUCGGGUGAAAACAAGCGAGGACGCGGAUGAGCUGCACAAAAUUCUGCUGGAGAAGAAGGAUGCCUGAGCAUGCUCGGCUGAGGAGCUGUCGCCAAGCUGCUGCUUCUCCCAGCGCCCUGAGCUUAGUGCCUUGGAUCACUUGUGCUGGAUGAGACCCAUUCCAGGCCAUUCAGGACUUUCUGUUGGAUUCCUGUUUUUCCAGUGCUUGCAGCAAACCUUCCAGACAUGGGCUCCUGGGUGGACUUUCCAAAGAAACGAGUUUGGGCAGCUGUUUCAGAUUCACAUCAAAUUCGAGGACCAGUGGGCUACAUCUGCAUUCCUGUAUGACUCUGUUUCAAGGUGACCUAUAAAAUGCCCUUUUGGCACAGUGAGCCUCACAGUUGCCUGGAACUACACCAGCUUUGUACAUGUCUCAGUCCAGCUUCACUGCGUCUGCGAAGGUAGGUGGCGGUUCUUCACAGGUCAGAAAACCCCAAGGAGAUGGAGCUUGUUGACGGAACAGCCACGUGGGGCUCCCUGCGCAGUGUGACUUGAAGGUAUGUGUGUGCCCAUUAAAGGACUAAGCUUCACUGGUUUCUGAAACUGUCUAAAAUAUUUUUAACAAAGUGAUUUAUUGAAAAUAUAAUCAACGUAUAAAAUAGGUAACUAAUGAGAGCCUACUGUUUAGCACAGGGAACCCUACAAUGAUGGGUGGUGACCUAAAUGGGAAAGAAAAUCUAUGAAGAGUGGAUAUGUGCACAUGUAUCAACUGAUUCUCUUUACAGCAGAAAUACAACACCGUAAAGCAAGUAUACUCCAAUAAAAAUUUUAAAAAUACCGCUAGUUUACCUAAAAACCAUGAUGUUUCAAAUGGAGCAGUCUAAUUGUUUUAUUGAAGUCAGGUUCCUUAAGCCACAAACAGGAAGGAAAUGUCUUUUUAAUAAGCCUGUUGGCUUACGUGGAGGCCAAGUCACGAGAGAACUGAAUGAAGCAGAAAGCAAAGGAAAAGACAUCUUUUGUCUGAUCAUCCCCAAAACACAUACUUUCCUUCCUCAUAGAAGUUUUCCAACCAUCCUGUCAUUUUAACAAUCAAGUGCAGAGUACAGUGUGUUCACACAUUCAACGUGUAUAUAUACAGUGAACCGUGGUACUGUAUGGAUUAUUAUACAUUUACCCCUCCUCCCGGUAGAAAAUUCCUCAAGGUUUUCCCUUCCAGUCAGCAUUCUUUUUCUAAGCUAGGGCAUGACAGUGGUUCCUAAAGUGCAUCUAUGUUAGCGUGAGAGAACGGAGAGAGGUAGCCUUCGAGAGCAGGCAGUUAGUACGGAUGCAGCUACCAGCUUCCAGGGUACAGACUUUGUCAAGAAAGUCAACAAGCAAAGGGGGUUGACUGGAUGAAAAGGAAGUGAAGUCACCUCUUACCUACUAAACUGCCGCCUCCUCAAGCACCAUCUGCACAUCUUCCUAGGUACAGGCUGCCCUUGGUGACGCCUGGCUCAUGUUUCUAAUGCAGUGACCUUCUGCGAGAUGUAGUGAUGAUCCCAUUUCCUGAUUGUAUGUGUUCCUCCUGACCACCCCCCCACCACACCCCACCUUUUGUUGUAACUUUUGUGGUGUCUUGGGCCUUCUGCCCAUCACCUGAUGACAUCGGAGAUCACCUAACCAUGGAAACAGCCCACCGCCUGAGUGGUUUCCUUCCGCAGACCCUGCUGGCGGAGUUGGCCUGCGGGGGCUGUGAACGUUCUCAGUGUCGACCUGACAGCUACAGGCUAGGAGGCAACAGAGCCAAAAACCAUCUUCCGGAUGACCAGUAGCUUGUUGGGAACCUGCCAGCACUUGAACUUGGGACUCCUGACUUUUAUUCCAGUCUUUUUCCCACUUCUCUGAGGGCCUUUUAAGAGGUUCUCUAGCAAAACCUUAGGGAAUUUUAUAGUAUAGCUGAAAGACUAUAUACUGCUUUAUAGGGGCCGAAAGCCGAACCUGCAGCAUAUCUAUGAUUUCAUUCUGCAAAUACAGCAUCUGAGCACAUUCCAGCUGCUGGCCUCCAGACCUCCCUGCUAACUCCCAGGCCCGCCAAAGCCAGGGCAUGCCUUCUUGUCAUUCAAUAGAGUAACUUGUAUGAAAGCUCCAAAGGCUAAGACAUCUCUGGGGGAAAAAAUUAAGAUUCAAUCAGCAAGUUAACACAUUGCAGUAGUAUCCAUAUUUAAUCCAAAACACCCUUUAGAGAAAAAAAUAACGGUACAGAUUCAAUAGAGAAGAAAUAAAUAAUACCCAACAUGCAAAUCAACUUUCAGAAGAAAUGCAAAGUCAUAAAGCACAGCUAACAGCCAACCACAAUUACUGCUUAGAAAUUAUUCCUAUUGUAUGUGGAAGAUGGUUAAUCCCGAAGCCACUGACAGUGCUUAUGGAAAUACCAGCGACAGAUCCUAAUACAGUCAAAAUAUGCCGUCAUGGUGUUUCUGCUAAAAUAUAUUUUGUAGAAAUCAUUUUAGUUGAGCCUCAAAGUCAUGAAAAACCACAGAUUUUCUUUGCAGGUUUACAUAUUGUCACACAUAGAAUUCGUUUGGAGACCAUAAAAGAUUACUAUUUACACCUAAAUCACCCAACCUUCAGGAAGUGGGGAAAUGAGAGACUGGAUACCCGCAGCGGAGCUGGAGCACCGCUGUGGGUUUUGAUCUGCUGAGUUCAGGGCUGGAGCCGCAGUUGCAAAGAUGCCCGCCUGCCUCGGGUAGGGUAGAAAACUGUAAACACAAACGCCUCCAAAAGGCCGGCUGCCUCCACUUCGGAGGCUCUACCCGCUGUGGACUCUGAACCCAGCCCCAGGCCACUCGGUGCUCAGGCGAUUUGGCUUCUGCGUGGUGCCCCGGGGUCAGAGGAAGGAAGGGCCGCAGGGCUCCUUUCCACCAAAGGGGCCACAUCAGCGCCCAGUCAGUCCGUGAGCAAGGACAAGGGCAAGAAGCCUCGGUGCCCCCAGCACCCAGCUCCCAAGAUGGGGCGGGACUCUGGCCGGAGAGGAGCCCUGCCCGAAGGACGGCUGAUGCCCCCGGAAGCCACUUCACUCCAGCUCUGGGGCUAGCACAGCAUCCCUGCUGGAGUCUGUCCCACUAGGGCAGAUACUUUCAAAGAGAAACAGCUCUGCUUUCUGAUACUCAGGAGAGAAAAGGCCUGAACAGGAAUAAUCCAUGUACUGUCAAAAGACACUUGGCUUUUGAAACUAAAUUCCAGCUACACUGGAAAACUGAACAGAAUUAUCAGAGUGGAACCUGUUACCAAGGUGUAUUGAAAAGUUGACAGUUUUAUCUGUAAAUCUUAAAAAUUUGGGCAGCAAUUUAAAAUGCCUGUAUUAUGAUAAUGUCAAAUAUGUUUUUCAAAUGUCAGUCAUCAAUACUAACUACAUAGGUACUUCCUCUGGAAUGUCUUUUAACAGAAAAAGAUAAUGAUGUUUUCACAUCAUUCUUCAAAAAUGUUUACUGACCAGUUUAUGUGAUUAAAACAGCAAAAACAGAUCCUGGUUUGAUUCUAGCUAGAGUCUUUGGAGAAAAACAAAUCACAUCAGGAACAUGCCUUUCUGUCAUUCGCAUCUUUGGUAGAAACCUAGUUGAUUUCCGAUGCUUUGCUCACAGUCCUUGAAAAGCCCAAAUGUUAGCAAGGCUCUGACUCACCCAUGCUAUCUCCAAGACGACUGGCUAUAGAAUACUUUGCUUCUCUUGGACAACUUCUCUGUUACCUAAUGUUUUAAAUGAUAUUUGUUUUAAAUAAUAUCCGUUUGAAGUAAGCCUCAGUUGUUUUCACAGACAACUGAAAAUUCCUUCUGUCAGACAUUGGAAUGGAGACUAAACGCUGCCUGAACCCUCAGGUGCUGGGAGAUGCAGAGACAGUGGCCUGGUCUGACUGCAGGACCAAGACAUAAUGUCCUUAGAAAGCCUAGAGGUUACAGGUUUCUUCAAGGGAACCCCGGACUUGAAUUCCAGUUCCCAUUUAAGAGAUGUUCACACGCUCUGGCCGCCUCCAUGUUACGUCGGGGCCAAGAGCCUUCAGACCGCAGAAGACCAGGAAGGAGAGGAGCCCAGGGAACACGCAACCCGUCUCAGGACCCUGGGCCAGGCCCCCGGCUCCCU